rnacentral:rRNA from 1 species
GACAGAGGAUGCAAGCGUUAUCCGGAAUGAUUGGGCGUAAAGCGUCUGUAGGUGGCUUUUCAAGUCCGCCGUCAAAUCCCAGGGCUCAACCCUGGACAGGCGGUGGAAACUACCAAGCUGGAGUACGGUAGGGGCAGAGGGAAUUCCGGUGGAGCGGUGAAAUGCAUUGAGAUCGGAAAGAACACCAACGGACGAAAGCAGCUCGUAGGCUGG